rnacentral:rRNA from 1 species
UACGAAGGGGGCUAGCGUUGCUCGGAAUUACUGGGCGUAAAGCGCGUGUAGGCGGAUGGGCAAGUCUGCUGUGAAAGCUCCUGGCUUAACCGGGAGUGGUCGGUGGAAACUGCCAAUCUGGAGGACGGUAGAGGUAGGUAGAAUUCCCGGUGUAGUGGUGAAAUGCGUAGAGAUCGGGAGGAAUACCUGUGGCGAAGGCGGCUAUCUGGCUCACAACUGACGAUCAGGCACGAAAGCGUGGGGAGCAAACAGG